AGCUCACUUUUCCGUGCUCACUCCUCGGAGCUUGCUUGGUUCCUUGUCCUCCUCCAUUUUCCCUAAAUCGCGAUGCAUUCUAGGGUUUCGAACCGAAAGGUAUCUGAAAUGACAAAAGUUAGAUCUCCAGAUUGAACCAAACGGGAAUAAGAAAAGUAAUGAUUUUUCAUGCUGUUUUCUUAAGCAUGCUUGUCUGUUCCCAGAGGGAAUGCUCUGUUACUUAAAAGCUAACAACUGGUUUUACGCAAGUGCUGGGAAGUUGACUUCAAAAUGGAUUUUCAGCUUCUGCAAUGGUUGCAAAGCUGCCUGAGCAAGCAUGUUAUUCUUUUGGUUCCUUAUGCAAAUAGCCUUCUGUACUUCUCAGUAAGCAUUAUGUCAGGUUUAUCUGUUCCCUAUAUUCUGUGGCAGCAGUUUAUCAUCUUCCGUACAUGGAUGAUGCACUUGAUUGGGUUAUUGAGCUUUCAUAUCCAGAUCGUCCAGGUAGAGGGCCACUCAAGACAUCCUGUAAACAAGAAAAGAUGGACAAACAUUCAUUUAAGAAAUUCCUCUACCCACCUGUAUGGUUAACAAACUUUUUUUGUAAAAAUGUUACUGCAGAUCACUUAUGAAGGUGAUGGGGAUAUACAUAUCAACAUAAAAAGUGACGAUGAUAUGAUGCCUCUCUCAGUCCCAAAAAGACAGCAUGAAAUACUUAUUUUGCUUUUCUUGGAUUGCUCAUCCAAUCAAUUUAGUUCUUUAGCAAAGAUGUAGAUAUUCAGCAGCAUUUUCUUUGUACUUACAUAUUAAAUGAUGUAGCUUUUCUUCACAUACUGCCCUUCAUGUGCUUAUACCAUCCUAAAACAUAUCAAAUAUUUUACCAGCAAUACCAAAUUACCAAUUAAAUUAUUCUUGGAAGAUGGGAUCUAAUUAUCAUUUCUUUAUCUAUCUAGGUGUAUGUACCAUGGUUCACAACUGCAUAACACAUGACUCCUCUUAAUUUGCUUAGUUAUUUGUCAGAAAGUCUAAAUUGAAAUAUCCAAUUUACAUGCAAAUUGUGAUGGAAGAAUACAUAUGUAAAGUUCUAUAACAUACCUAUGUAUGGUUUCUACAGAUGUCUUCUAUGCUACUAUUCCAAAUUCAUAUCCAACUAGCAAUUCGUGGUAUUCUGUAGAUUUUUCUUAGUUUACUUAUGUCCACCUUGUAGUCUUGUUCUUUUCCCCCCGCUUUUUUUUUUUUUCUGUUAAGAAGUUAAGUCAGGUUUCUUGCUGCUAGCUUACCGGCAAAGAAACUUGGCUGUGUAUGGGUGAGGUGUGUGAGCUGCCAAAAGAUGCACAGUGUUGCAUAUUUUCUUCUCCAAGAUUUCUCAGUCUUUCAAGCUCUGGCAACACUACUGUAGCAAGAUCUGGCCGGUCCUUCCGUCUCAGCUCUGCACAACUGAGUGCUAUCUUGGCUAAGCUCAAGGCUUCCUCCACUGGCCAAUCUGUCACUGAUGGAUCCAACAUUUCUGUGAACGUUCCCUUCUCAAUUGCGCGUUCCACAUGAUGUGUCAGCCCCAUGGGAGGUUUUGCAGUGAUUAUCUGCAACAGCAUGAUCCCAAGAGAGUAAAUGUCGGACUUUACACCAAGCAUGCCAGUCUGCUGGUAUUCAGGGUCAAUGUAACAGAAUGUUCCAGCAGUGGAGGUCAUGCGAUACUGAGUGACAUUUUCUGCAACAGAUGGGGGAACCAGGCGGGCAAGGCCAACAUCGCUGAUUUUGCUGACAUAGUUUCGGUCAAGGAGGAUGUUUGCAGGCUUAAGGUCUCGGUGGACCAGCGGCUCUGGCUUUGUCUGGUGCAGAAAGAGGAGGCCUGUGCCAAUCUCAGCAGCAAUGCGGAACCUAUACUGCCAAGGGAUUGGUGGUGUAUUUCCUCGCCGGAACAAGCGAUCUUCCAAGCUCCCAUUAGCCAUAUAUUCAUAGACAAGGCAGCCAUAUUCUGGGCAGGCACCUAGCAAAAGAACCAUAUUUGGAUGCCUAAUGCAGCUUAAAAUUUCAACCUGCAUUGAAGUUCACAUGCAACUAAAAAUAUUUAGGAUUCACCAUAGCAGCUGCUAGUUGUAGAGGAACUCUAUCAAGGUAAGACUUAAUUGGCUAUGGGAUCACCAAUAGAUGCAUGUCAUACUCUGCACAUGGUAUGCAUAUGGAGUAACUAACAGAGCUUUGACAGUGUGACAUGGCUGUGUAAAGUGUUUAAUACCUCUUGUUGAAACUGAGAUCUCCCUUGAGCUGCAUCUGGGCGCAGAACUUUAAUGGCGACAGGUGUGUGGUCCAGGUAACAUUUGUAGACAGGACCAUAGCCACCUUCUCCAAUAUUCCGCUUCUCAGAAAAGUAUUCCGUGGCCACUUCUAUCUCUUCUAUCGUGUACUUCCUAUACCUCACAUCUGUAUUUGCUAAAGCAUCCAACGCCCUCUUCUUCUCCUCAGCCUCUUUGAGCGCUUUCAUUUCUGCGUUGAUUCUCUUCUGUGCUUCUAACUCUGCGAUCCUUUUGGAGGCUUCAGCUGCCUCUAUGGCUGCCUUACAUCUUGCUUUCUCCCUCUCUACUAAGGCCAAAGCUGCUUCUUCCGCCAUUCGAGCUUCCUCUAAUCUCCUCUCUUCCUCCAUCUUCCAACGAUGGAGUUCCAUUGCCUGCAGUGAAAGGCAUAAUUAGCAAGGAUGUUAAGAUUAUGGAGAUGUGGUGAAAAAUUACCUUUUGUUUGGCUGUGAGUGCUUCUUUGCAGGCUGUACUGUACAUGUCCAUUGUCUGCUUGAGUUCUAGUCUCAGCCUCUUCAUCUCCGCCUCCACAUCUUCCUGCAAGUGAUGGAACAAACUGGUGACCAUCAACCAAGGAGGCAGGAUUGAGAAGUGUUCACACUCAUUGCCAUUUGUUAGUGGCAUCACAUAGCUUCAUGACCGGUGCUAAGUUGCAAAAAAUUUGCAGAUGUAAAUACACAUACCAUGGUGAGAGAUGAUGAUGUGCUGUCCUGAGACAUUGAAGAGAAUGCAGUCCCACAUGAGAAACCGCCAACCACUGACCUGCGUGGUGAUUGCAUCUCAAAGCUGUUAUCUAAGCUGUCAGACACGUUGGACAUCCUCUGAUUAAAGAUGCGAUCAAUGCUUGGCCUGCCACCACCCAUGAAUGAUAUAUCGCUGCGAUCAAUGCUUGCCCUGCCACCACUCACGAAUGAUAUAUCACUCUCUCCUAUACUCUCUGCAUAUGAUCUUCCAGUUGAGGCACGUGUUCCUCUGGUGAAUGGUGACCUGUUUGAGGUACCACAUUAGCUUGCAACUCAACAUAGUGGCAAAAGAAAGUACUACUAAUUGCUAUGGUGCAGCAAUGUUACUAUUUUUGCAUUGCAGGACAUAUUACCUGAUUGGUUCCCGUUCACUCUGCACAUUCCAAGUCCCUAAUGCUGCCUCACCUGGCAAUUGAAAAUCUCAAAAUUUCUUUGAGUGUAUGAGGCAAGUUUCUAUUUCCUAUUCAAAGGGAAACUGAUGAUAAGAGCAAUCGUCAUGUUUACACAAACCUCUGACACCAUGAGGGUGAGGUGGGUCUACAUGUUCGUUUCUUAUACUUGAUUGGCUUUGGAUUUGAGCCCGGAAUGGGGAGACGGUUGGUGCUGGUCGGACAGCAUUCCUCAUGGAGGACACCUUCCCUUUGGAUAUGAUGUAGACGGUGCAGAAAUCAGGUGCACCUUUGGAAACACUGGUAGAGACAUCUGUAGUCCUAAAUCUUCAGACAGAAAAGAUAUGACAAUAAGUAUUCUGAGAGGGCAUGUUUCUUCUACAACCAGAGACUUCCACUCCAUUGUGACAUUGCUUGAGUGAAUCAAUUACCUAACAAAUCCGCCUUUUGAAGGUGCACCAACAACAAGCUUUUCAAUAGCAGCAUGCGAGACAAACUCUAUGAUUGCCUUUGCUAUAUCAGUGUCUUCAAGUAUGAUAUCCUUGCAUUGUACCUGUUGAAGAAACAGAAAACUGGGUCAGAGAAUAUUUUGGGAUUUAUGAAUGGUGGACACUGUCUACUAGAAAAUUGAGUGAGACAUGUCCAUCAAUGAAAUGCAGUAGCAAACUCUGUCUGACCUGAAAGGCCAGGCAGAGACAAGGUUAACAGGUCUUCUCUCAGGACUGUAAGCAUACAGGGGUACCAUGUAUGGUGGUUUCAUUUUCGUUAUUGGAUUUGGUAUUUGAGAAUCAGAUAAAAAGAGGAGGGGAGUGUGUCCAUGACUGUAGUGUUUAUUCACAAGUGGGAGUUGCCAGCUCUCUUAACUGCCAAAUUCCUGGACAGCAUAAGAUGGGACAACGUCUAGUAUCUUUUCAUGAUCAUGAGGACCACGAGGUUGAAUAUAACCUGAAGGCUUGUUAUAUCUGGUCAAGAUCUGAUCGCACUGGCCUGCUAGGAAAGAAAUAGCAGAAUAUCUAAUGUCUUAGAAUGCUAUGCAUUGGUGCUGCCAUGGUAUCCCACUUUACACAGCUGGGAAGAGAUUCUCCCAGUCCGAGAGCCAAAUUUGUUGUGGAUUUGGACAUCUGGCCGUGAAAACAGUAGAAAAGAAGGUGGCUGUAGCUGUUGGAUGCUACCUUAAAGAAAUACAAGGACCACGAAACUUUGGUGAUGGAAAAUGUAGUAGAGAUUAUUCUUCAUUUAAAUAUGGCAAUAGAGAUCCUUCUU